rnacentral:lncRNA from 1 species
UAUUUCGAAUCUACUGAUUCGAGGACUGUCAUUUAAUUUUGAAUAAUGAAAGAUCCGAUAUCAUCUUUCAAACGACGUGUUAGAACUGGUUAUCUGUGACGUAUAUCCAUUUCGGUGUAGAAACCAGAAUCCUUCAGAUCGGCAAUGAAUUCCGAUGAGGAUCUAUCGAUCUUCACUUCUGUCUAUUGUCGACGAUAUGCGCUGCUGGGAAUGUUAUGUAUUCGACGAUUCAUGUUCGCUUUCGUUAUUGUAGAACAAUAAAGUUCUGAAUUCGUCACACCAGAAUGUUAUUAGAACCUCUGACGUCAUUCUGGUGGUCCGCAUCAAUUGUCUCAUAUCAUUUAGUUAAUGAGGAUAAUAUUUAUCCUUGAUGAUAUGUUUGAUUUCAUCGGGAAGAGAUGAAAGUAAAUUUCUGAAUAUGAUGUUAGCGUUAAUGGAGAAACGCGAUGAAGAAGAUGAAGGAGUCCCCAUUACUGUUAAAUCAGGGACAUCCGCAUAUUAAGCAUUAUAUUGGGGACUGGGGACCUAUAUAUAUGUAUAGAGUAAUCCGGAGGAAUCUAUCCCCAAUUGGAAUAGUAAUGAUUUCAAAUUUCAAAUUUGAAAAUAUCCCGCCCUACAGUAUACCAAUUC